rnacentral:rRNA from 1 species
AUUGAACGCUGGCGGCAGGCCUAACACAUGCCAGUCGAGCGGAUGAAGGGAGCUUGCUCCUGGAUUCAGCGGCGGACGGGUGAGUAAUGCCUAGGAAUCUGCCUGGUAGUGGGGGAUAACGUCCGGAAACGGGCGCUAAUACCGCAUACGUCCUGAGGGAGAAAGUGGGGGAUCUUCGGACCUCACGCUAUCAGAUGAGCCUAGGUCGGAUAGCUAGUUGGUGGGGUAAAGGCCUACCAAGGCGACGAUCCGUAACUGGUCUGAGAGGAUGAUCAGUCACACUGGAACUGAGACACGGUCCAGACUCCUACGGGAGGCAGCAGUGGGGAAUAUUGGACAAUGGGCGAAAGCCUGAUCCAGCCAUGCCGCGUGUGUGAAGAAGGUCUUCGGAUUGUAAAGCACUUUAAGUUGGGAGGAAGGGCAGUAAGUUAAUACCUUGCUGUUUUGACGUUACCAACAGAAUAAGCACCGGCUAACUUCGUG